CCCUUUGGGUGUGACUGCGUACCUUUUGUAUAAUGGGUCAGCGACUUAUAUUCUGUAGCAAGGUUAACCGAAUAGGGGAGCCGGAGGGAAACCGAGUCUUAAUUGGGCGUUAAGUUGCAGGGUAUAGACCCGAAACCCGGUGAUCUAGCCAUGGGCAGGUUGAAGGUUGGGUAACACUAACUGGAGGACCGAACCGACUAAUGUUGAAAAAUUAGCGGAUGACCUGUGGCUGGGGGUGAAAGGCCAAUCAAACCGGGAGAUAGCUGGUUCUCCCCGAAAGCUAUUUAGGUAGCGCCUCGUGAAUUCAUCUCCGGGGGUAGAGCACUGUUUCGGCUAGGGGGCCAUCCCGGCUUACCAACCCGAUGCAAACUGCGAAUACCGGAGAAUGUUAUCACGGGAGACACACGGCGGGUGCUAACGUCCGUCGUGAAGAGGGAAACAACCCAGACCGCCAGCUAAGGUCCCAAAGUCAUGGUUAAGUGGGAAACGAUGUGGGAAGGCCCAGACAGCCAGGAUGUUGGCUUAGAAGCAGCCAUCAUUUAAAGAAAGCGUAAUAGCUCACUGGUCGAGUCGGCCUGCGCGGAAGAUGUAACGGGGCUAAACCAUGCACCGAAGCUGCGGCAGCGACACUGUGUGUUGUUGGGUAGGGGAGCGUUCUGUAAGCCUGUGAAGGUGUGUCGUGAGGCAUGCUGGAGGUAUCAGAAGUGCGAAUGCUGACAUAAGUAACGAUAAAGCGGGUGAAAAGCCCGCUCGCCGGAAGACCAAGGGUUCCUGUCCAACGUUAAUCGGGGCAGGGUGAGUCGACCCCUAAGGCGAGGCCGAAAGGCGUAGUCGAUGGGAAACGGGUUAAUAUUCCCGUACUUGGUGUUACUGCGAAGGGGGGACGGAGAAGGCUAUGUUGGCCGGGCGACGGUUGUCCCGGUUUAAGCGUGUAGGUGUGUGUUCCAGGUAAAUCCGGUUCACUUUAACACUGAGGCGUGACGACGAGGCACUACGGUGCUGAAGCAACAAAUGCCCUGCUUCCAGGAAAAGCCUCUAAGCAUCAGGUAACAUCAAAUCGUACCCCAAACCGACACAGGUGGUCAGGUAGAGAAUACCAAGGCGCUUGAGAGAACUCGGGUGAAGGAACUAGGCAAAAUGGUGCCGUAACUUCGGGAGAAGGCACGCUGACACGUAGGUGAAGUGAUUUACUCAUGGAGCUGAAGUCAGUCGAAGAUACCAGCUGGCUGCAACUGUUUAUUAAAAACACAGCACUGUGCAAACACGAAAGUGGACGUAUACGGUGUGACGCCUGCCCGGUGCCGGAAGGUUAAUUGAUGGGGUCAGCGCAAGCGAAGCUCCUGAUCGAAGCCCCGGUAAACGGCGGCCGUAACUAUAACGGUCCUAAGGUAGCGAAAUUCCUUGUCGGGUAAGUUCCGACCUGCACGAAUGGCGUAAUGAUGGCCAGGCUGUCUCCACCCGAGACUCAGUGAAAUUGAACUCGCUGUGAAGAUGCAGUGUACCCGCGGCAAGACGGAAAGACCCCGUGAACCUUUACUAUAGCUUGACACUGAACAUUGAGCCUUGAUGUGUAGGAUAGGUGGGAGGCUUUGAAGUGUGGACGCCAGUCUGCAUGGAGCCGACCUUGAAAUACCACCCUUUAAUGUUUGAUGUUCUAACGUGGACCCGUUACCCGGGUUGCGGACAGUGUCUGGUGGGUAGUUUGACUGGGGCGGUCUCCUCCUAAAGAGUAACGGAGGAGCACGAAGGUUGGCUAAUCCUGGUCGGACAUCAGGAGGUUAGUGCAAUGGCAUAAGCCAGCUUGACUGCGAGCGUGACGGCGCGAGCAGGUGCGAAAGCAGGUCAUAGUGAUCCGGUGGUUCUGAAUGGAAGGGCCAUCGCUCAACGGAUAAAAGGUACUCCGGGGAUAACAGGCUGAUACCGCCCAAGAGUUCAUAUCGACGGCGGUGUUUGGCACCUCGAUGUCGGCUCAUCACAUCCUGGGGCUGAAGUAGGUCCCAAGGGUAUGGCUGUUCGCCAUUUAAAGUGGUACGCGAGCUGGGUUUAGAACGUCGUGAGACAGUUCGGUCCCUAUCUGCCGUGGGCGCUGGAGAACUGAGGGGGGCUGCUCCUAGUACGAGAGGACCGGAGUGGACGCAUCACUGGUGUUCGGGUUGUCAUGCCAAUGGCACUGCCCGGUAGCUAAAUGCGGAAGAGAUAAGUGCUGAAAGCAUCUAAGCACGAAACUUGCCCCGAG
rnacentral:rRNA from 3 species